GGAGUGGCGAACGGGUGAGUAACACGUGGGUAACCUGCCCAUCAGAAGGGGAUAACACUUGGAAACAGGUGCUAAUACCGUAUAACAAUCGAAACCGCAUGGUUUUGAUUUGAAAGGCGCUUUCGGGUGUCGCUGAUGGAUGGACCCGCGGUGCAUUAGCUAGUUGGUGAGGUAACGGCUCACCAAGGCCACGAUGCAUAGCCGACCUGAGAGGGUGAUCGGCCACAUUGGGACUGAGACACGGCCCAAACUCCUACGGGAGGCAGCAGUAGGGAAUCUUCGGCAAUGGACGAAAGUCUGACCGAGCAACGCCGCGUGAGUGAAGAAGGUUUUCGGAUCGUAAAACUCUGUUGUUAGAGAAGAACAAGGAUGAGAGUAACUGUUCAUCCCUUGACGGUAUCUAACCAGAAAGCCACGGCUAACUACGUGCCAGCAGCCGCGGUAAUACGUAGGUGGCAAGCGUUGUCCGGAUUUAUUGGGCGUAAAGCGAGCGCAGGCGGUUUCUUAAGUCUGAUGUGAAAGCCCCCGGCUCAACCGGGGAGGGUCAUUGGAAACUGGGAGACUUGAGUGCAGAAGAGGAGAGUGGAAUUCCAUGUGUAGCGGUGAAAUGCGUAGAUAUAUGGAGGAACACCAGUGGCGAAGGCGGCUCUCUGGUCUGUAACUGACGCUGAGGCUCGAAAGCGUGGGGAGCAAACAGGAUUAGAUACCCUGGUAGUCCACGCCGUAAACGAUGAGUGCUAAGUGUUGGAGGGUUUCCGCCCUUCAGUGCUGCAGCUAACGCAUUAAGCACUCCGCCUGGGGAGUACGACCGCAAGGUUGAAACUCAAAGGAAUUGACGGGGGCCCGCACAAGCGGUGGAGCAUGUGGUUUAAUUCGAAGCAACGCGAAGAACCUUACCAGGUCUUGACAUCCUUUGACCACUCUAGAGAUAGAGCUUCCCCUUCGGGGGCAAAGUGACAGGUGGUGCAUGGUUGUCGUCAGCUCGUGUCGUGAGAUGUUGGGUUAAGUCCCGCAACGAGCGCAACCCUUAUUGUUAGUUGCCAUCAUUCAGUUGGGCACUCUAGCAAGACUGCCGGUGACAAACCGGAGGAAGGUGGGGAUGACGUCAAAUCAUCAUGCCCCUUAUGACCUGGGCUACACACGUGCU
rnacentral:rRNA from 1 species